rnacentral:rRNA from 1 species
CAGUAGCCACGGUAAAACGAAGGGGGCUAGCGUUGCUCGGAAUUACUGGGCGUAAAGGGAGCGUAGGCGGAUCGUUUAGUCAGGGGUGAAAUCCCGGGGCUCAACCUCGGAACUGCCUUUGAUACUGGCGAUCUUGAGUAUGGGAGAGGUGUGUGGAACUCCGAGUGUAGAGGUGAAAUUCGUAGAUAUUCGGAAGAACACCAGUGGCGAAGGCGACACACUGGCCCAUUACUGACGCUGAGGCUCGAAAGUGUGGUGAGCAAACAGGAUUAGAUACCCGCGUAGUCCCUGUCUCUUAUAC